UACGGAGGAUGCGAGCGUUAUCCGGAUUUAUUGGGUUUAAAGGGAGCGCAGACGGGGGAUUAAGUCAGUUGUGAAAGUUUGGGGCUCAACCUUAAAAUUGCAGUUGAUACUGGUUCUCUUGAGUGCAGUUGAGGCAGGCGGAAUUCGUGGUGUAGCGGUGAAAUGCUUAGAUAUCACGAAGAACCCCGAUUGCGAAGGCAGCUUGCUAAACUGUAACUGACGUUCAUGCUCGAAAGUGUGGGUAUCAAACAGG
rnacentral:rRNA from 1 species